UGCCCAAGAGAUCGGGAUAACACCUGGAAACAGAUGCUAAUACCGGAUAACAACAGAUGAUGCCUAUCAACUGUUUAAAAGAUGGUUAUGCUAUCACUCUUGGAUGGACCUGCGGUGCAUUAGCUAGUUGGUAGGGUAACGGCCUACCAAGGCGAUGAUGCAUAGCCGAGUUGAGAGACUGAUCGGCCACAUUGGGACUGAGACACGGCCCAAACUCCUACGGGAGGCAGCAGAU
rnacentral:rRNA from 1 species